UAUUAAGUUAAGCACUCUAACGAGACUGCCGCGGUUAACGUGGAGGAAGGUGGGGAUGACGUCAAAUCAUCAUGCCCCUUAUGUCUAGGGCUACACACGUGCUACAAUGGCUGGUACAACGAGCAGCAAACCCGCGAGGGGGAGCAAAACUUGAAAGCCAGUCCCAGUUCGGAUUGUAGGCUGAAACUCGCCUACAUGAAGUUGGAGUUGCUAGUAAUCGCGAAUCAGCAUGUCGCGGUGAAUACGUUCCCGGGUCUUGUACACACCGCCCGUCACACCAUGAGAGCCGGUAACACCCGAAGCCCGUGAGGUAACCGUAAGGAGCCAGCGGUCGAAGGUGGGAUUGGUGAUUGGGGUGAAGUCGUAACAAGGUAGCCGUAGGAGAACCUGCGGCUGGAUCACCUCCUUUCUAGGGAGA
rnacentral:rRNA from 1 species